rnacentral:rRNA from 2 species
UAAAACCAGCACCUCAAGUGGUCAGGAGGAUUAUUGGGCCUAAAGCAUCCGUAGCCGGCUCUGUAAGUUUUCGGUUAAAUCCAUGUGCUCAACGCAUGGGCUGCCGAGAAUACUACACAGCUAGGGAGUGGGAGAGGUAGACGGUACUCAGCAGGAAGGGGUAAAAUCCUUUGAUCUAUUGAUGACCACCUGUGGCGAAGGCGGUCUACCAGAACACGUUCGACGGUGAGGGAUGAAAGCUGGGGGAGCAAACCGGAUUAGAUACCCGGGUAGUCCCAGCUGUAAACGAUGCAGACUCGAUGAUGCAUUGGCAUAUAGCCAGUGCAGUGUCGCAGGGAAGCCGUUAAGUCUGCCGCCUGGGAAGUACGUACGCAAGUAUG